rnacentral:rRNA from 1 species
GACGAACGCUGGCGGCGUGCUUAACACAUGCAAGUCGAACGGGCCUGUCUUCUUUUUUGGGGGGUGGGUUGAGUGGCGAACGGGUGAGUAUCACGUGAGUAACCUGCCCUUCGGUCCUGGAUAACCGCUUGAAAGGGCGGCUAAUACGGGGUGGUCCGGUUGGUCCGCAUGGGCUGGUCGGGAUAGAUUCACUGUUUUUGGUGUUUCGGCGGGGGAUGGGCUCGCGGCCUAUCAGCUUGUUGGUGGGGUGAUGGCCUACCAAGGCGGUGACGGGUAGCCGGCCUGAGAGGGUGGGCGGCCACACUGGGACUGAGAUACGGCCCAGACUCCUGCGGGAGGCAGCAGUGGGGGGUAUUGCACAAUGGGCGGAAGCCUGAUGCAGCGACGUCGCGUGAGGGAUGGAGGCCUUCGGGUUGUGAACCUCUGUUUCCGGUGAUGAAGGCCCUGUCCGUGUGGUGGGGUUGACGGUAGCCGGGGAUGAAGCGCCGGCUAACUACGUG